rnacentral:rRNA from 1 species
UACAGAGGUGGCAAGCGUUGUUCGGAAUUACUGGGCGUAAAGGGCGCGUAGGCGGCCCGUCAAGUCCCGUGUGAAAGCCCCCGGCUCAACCGGGGAACGGCGCGGGAAACUAGCAGGCUUGAGUUCGGGAGAGGGAAGCGGAAUUCCGGGUGUAGCGGUGAAAUGCGCAGAUAUCCGGAGGAACACCGGUGGCGAAGGCGGCUUCCUGGACCAACACUGACGCUGAGGAGCGAAAGCCAGGGGAGCAAACGGG